UUUGGUGACUGCGCUCCUCUAAGCCAGUUACCUUGGUUCAAUCACCUGCAAGUGUUUGAACCUUCGGAAAAACCGCCCUGCAAGGCGGUUUUUUCGU
rnacentral:antisense_RNA from 1 species